GUGAAGUCAUUGAUGCCAUGCUUCCAGGAAAAGCCUCUAAGCUUCAGAUUGUAAGGAAUCGUACCCCAAACCGACACAGGUGGUCGGGUAGAGAAUACCAAGGCGCUUGAGAGAACUCGGGUGAAGGAACUAGGCAAAAUGGUACCGUAACUUCGGGAGAAGGUACGCUCUUGAUGGUGAAGUCCCUCGCGGAUGGAGCUGACGAGAGUCGCAGAUACCAGGUGGCUGCAACUGUUUAUUAAAAACACAGCACUGUGCAAAAUCGUAAGAUGACGUAUACGGUGUGACGCCUGCCCGGUGCCGGAAGGUUAAUUGAUGGGGUUAGACUUCGGUCGAAGCUCUUGAUCGAAGCCCCGGUAAACGGCGGCCGUAACUAUAACGGUCCUAAGGUAGCGAAAUUCCUUGUCGGGUAAGUUCCGACCUGCACGAAUGGCGUAAUGAUGGCCACGCUGUCUCCACCCGAGACUCAGUGAAAUUGAAAUCGCUGUGAAGAUGCAGUGUACCCGCGGCUAGACGGAAAGACCCCGUGAACCUUUACUACAGCUUGGCACUGAACAUUGACCCUACAUGUGUAGGAUAGGUGGGAGGCUUUGAAGCACGUACGCCAGUAUGUGUGGAGCCGUCCUUGAAAUACCACCCUUGUAGUGUUGAUGUUCUAACGUCGACCCCUUAUCGGGGUUGCGGACAGUGCCUGGUGGGUAGUUUGACUGGGGCGGUCUCCUCCCAAAGAGUAACGGAGGAGCACGAAGGUGGGCUAAUCACGGUUGGACAUCGUGAGGUUAGUGCAAUGGCAUAAGCCCGCUUGACUGCGAGAAUGACAAUUCGAGCAGGUGCGAAAGCAGGUCAUAGUGAUCCGGUGGUUCUGAAUGGAAGGGCCAUCGCUCAACGGAUAAAAGGUACUCCGGGGAUAACAGGCUGAUACCGCCCAAGAGUUCAUAUCGACGGCGGUGUUUGGCACCUCGAUGUCGGCUCAUCACAUCCUGGGGCUGAAGUCGGUCCCAAGGGUAUGGCUGUUCGCCAUUUAAAGUGGUACGCGAGCUGGGUUUAGAACGUCGUGAGACAGUUCGGUCCCUAUCUGCCGUGGGCGUUGGAAGAUUGAAGGGGGCUGCUCCUAGUACGAGAGGACCGGAGUGGACGAACCUCUGGUGUUCGGGUUGUGUCGCCAGACGCAUUGCCCGGUAGCUAAGUUCGGAAUCGAUAACCGCUGAAAGCAUCUAAGCGGGAAGCGAGCCCUGAGAUGAGUCUUCCCUGAUACUUUAAGUAUCCUAAAGGGUUGUCGGAGACUACGACGUUGAUAGGUCAGGUGUGUAAGUGCUGUGAGGCAUUGAGCUAACUGAUACUAAUUGCCCGUGAGGCUUAACCAUACAACACCCAAGGGGUUU
rnacentral:rRNA from 1 species